AACGGGUGGUUGAAGAGGCGACUUGCUGACAAAGCCUCUCUCGGGCAGGGGAAGUCGCUUCCCUCGCCUCUUGUUAAGCCCCGAGCAGCGCUCACCUCCUGGGGGAGUCCAGCGGGGGUGACUGGGAAAGGACGCAGGAUCCUUGAGGAACCCACAGAGGUUACGUACCAGAAACACAGCUGCCCAAAUCAGUGCAUCCAGAGUCUGGGCAAACCUGCAGUCCCCCAAAGAAUGAUCCAAUUGCUGGAUAGUCCCCCUACAGCGCCCACCCCCCUGAAGCCCAGGAGUGGGCAAGGGGCAUCGGGGGUGGGGGCUCUGCCAGUCAGCACCGCUCUCUCGGCUCCCAUUCCAGUGAGCAGCAAUCCAGUACGGUUCUGCGACGGCAGCUUCGCUUCUGCGGGUCCAGAGGUUGGGCUAAGAACAUCCUCGUGGGACCUCACUCGCUGCACAUCCACUCCAUGAUGCUUUCCCGCUCACCGUUACACUGGGAGAGCUUGCGGUUCAUUUUUCAUCUAUGUAAUGUGUGCCGCGUUCAUUCUGUAUCAGUCUGAUUGCUUAAGCAAAAUGCUGGGUGGUACCAAGUCAAAGCCAAGCCUAAGAAAGUGACAUCAACACAAUUACCAUUGUCAAUCAAACCUGUAAUCUCAUCCGAAAAGGAUAUCGAGUUAGUUUGAGAAGAUUUGUUUUCCAUAAACCCAUGUUGAUUGGCGUUAAUUAUAUCACCUUCCUUUAAUUCUUUAUGAAUCACCUGGGAUUGAUGCCAAGAUGACAGGCCUAUAAUCACCUGCACAUCCCAUUUACUCUUUGUAAAUAUUGGCGCAACACUAGUUUUCUUCCAGUCCUCUGGAACUUCCCCAGUGCUCCAAGACUUAUUAAAAAUCAGCAUCAACAGUCCAGCAAGCUCCUUGGCCAGCUCUUUUAAAACCUUUGGAUGCACAUCAUCUGGACCUACUGAUUUAAAGAUGGCUAACUUUAAUAGCUGCUGUUGAACAUCCUCCUGAGUUGCUGUUGUAAUGGAAAAUAUUUGAUCAUCAUGUGAUGUGAAUAUACCACCUGGCUGUUUCCCAUAUUCUGAACAAUUCUGCCUUGUCUGCAUGAUUAUUGACAGUUCUACCCUUUCCAUCUAGUAAUGGACCAACACCAUUGUUAGAAUUCCUUUUGUUCCUAAUAUACAUUUUAAAAUGCCUUCUUAUUGUCCUUAACUCCACUAGCCAUAGAUUACUGCUUGUGUCCUUUUGCUUCCUUUAUCAAUUUUCUACCAUUUAUAGCUUCUAGUUUAUUUCAUUGUGUGACACUUCCCCCAAGGGUACCCAGGGCUGUAAGGAACUUCAUCGCCACCUGCCGUUAG